UUUUCUUUUCCUCUCUUCUUCUUCCCUCUUCCAUGUCCGAAACCCUAGCUCCCAAAACCUUGAUUUCCUCCACUUUUCUCAACAAAUUAACCAUGAAUCUUGCAUCAAGGAUGGAGAAUAAGAGGAGAUCACCACUUUCUACCGAAUGGAAUUUCGAAAUUUUUGAGGGCACACUCCAGGAGGGGCAAGCACUCCGUUGUAGCACUGUAACCAACCAAGUGGUCAGUUCUAAACCAUGACGCUUGUCUUCUUUGGUCAACCUUUCCAUGUCCAAGCCUAAGAGAAGCUGCUCUUAUUUUCUUGAAGUUUUGACGAACUUUGGUUUUGCACUCUAGUUGUUGGCCUAAGGUUGAAAUGUGUAUAAUACUUUCUUCCGAAACGUUUUUGGUGUAUGCCCAAUUAUAGAGCUGGGCUUGUAUAUAUGUGCGUAUAUAUCCGAUAUUCAG